GCUUUAGUAUAAGUAUGUCCCAUGCAAUAUCUGGGACAUACUUAUACUAAAC
rnacentral:pre_miRNA from 1 species